rnacentral:rRNA from 1 species
UACAGAGGUCUCAAGCGUUGUUCGGAUUCAUUGGGCGUAAAGGGUGCGUAGGCGGCGCGGUAAGUCGGGUGUGAAAUCUCGGGGCUUAACUCCGAAACUGCAUUCGAUACUGCCGUGCUUGAGGACUGGAGAGGAGACUGGAAUUUACGGUGUAGCGGUGAAAUGCGUAGAUAUCGUAAGGAAGACCAGUGGCGAAGGCGGGUCUCUGGACAGUUCCUGACGCUGAUGCGCGAAAGCCAGGGGGAGCGAACGGG